rnacentral:rRNA from 1 species
AACGAACGCUGGCGGCAUGCCUAACACAUGCCAGUCGAACGAGACCGUCGGGUCUAGUGGCGCACGGGUGCGUAACGCGGGGGAACCUGCCCGUAGGUUCGGAAUAACUCCCCGAGAGGGGUGCUAAUACCGGAUAAUGUCUUCGGACCAAAGAUUUAUCGCCUUUGGAUGGGCCCGCGUUGGAUUAGCUAGUUGGUAGGGUAAAAGCCUACCAAGGCGACGAUCCAUAGCUGGUCUGAGAGGAUGCUCAGCCACACUGGGACUGAGACACGGCCCAGACUCCUACGGGAGGCAGCAGUGGGGAAUAUUGGACACUGGGCGAAAGCCUGAUCCAGCAAUGCCGCGUGAGUGAUGCAGGCCUUAGGGUUGUACAGCUCUUUUACACGGGAUGAUAAUGACAGUACCGGGAGAAUAAGCUCCGGCUAACUCCGUG